rnacentral:rRNA from 1 species
GAUGAACGCUGGCGGCGUGCCUAAUACAUGCAAGUCGAGCGAACGGACGAGAAGCUUGCUUCUCUGAUGUUAGCGGCGGACGGGUGAGUAACACGUGGAUAACCUACCUAUAAGACUGGGAUAACUUCGGGAAACCGGAGCUAAUACCGGAUAAUAUUUUGAACCGCAUGGUUCAAAAGUGAAAGACGGUCUUGCUGUCACUUAUAGAUGGAUCCGCGCUGCAUUAGCUAGUUGGUAAGGUAACGGCUUACCAAGGCAACGAUGCAUAGCCGACCUGAGAGGGUGAUCGGCCACACUGGAACUGAGACACGGUCCAGACUCCUACGGGAGGCAGCAGUAGGGAAUCUUCCGCAAUGGGCGAAAGCCUGACGGAGCAACGCCGCGUGAGUGAUGAAGGUCUUCGGAUCGUAAAACUCUGUUAUUAGGGAAGAACAUAUGUGUAAGUAACUGUGCACAUCUUGACGGUACCUAAUCAGAAAGCCACGGCUAACUACGUGCCAGCAGCCGCGGUAAUACGUAGGUGGCAAGCGUUAUCCGGAAUUAUUGGGCGUAAAGCGCGCGUAGGCGGUUUUUUAAGUCUGAUGUGAAAGCCCACGGCUCAACCGUGGAGGGUCAUUGGAAACUGGAAAACUUGAGUGCAGAAGAGGAAAGUGGAAUUCCAUGUGUAGCGGUGAAAUGCGCAGAGAUAUGGAGGAACACCAGUGGCGAAGGCGACUUUCUGGUCUGUAACUGACGCUGAUGUGCGAAAGCGUGGGGAUCAAACAGGAUUAGAUACCCUGGUAGUCCACGCCGUAAACGAUGAGUGCUAAGUGUUAGGGGGUUUCCGCCCCUUAGUGCUGCAGCUAACGCAUUAAGCACUCCGCCUGGGGAGUACGACCGCAAGGUUGAAACUCAAAGGAAUUGACGGGGACCCGCACAAGCGGUGGAGCAUGUGGUUUAAUUCGAAGCAACGCGAAGAACCUUACCAAAUCUUGACAUCCUUUGACAACUCUAGAGAUAGAGCUUUCCCCUUCGGGGGACAAAGUGACAGGUGGUGCAUGGUUGUCGUCAGCUCGUGUCGUGAGAUGUUGGGUUAAGUCCCGCAACGAGCGCAACCCUUAAGCUUAGUUGCCAUCAUUAAGUUGGGCACUCUAAGUUGACUGCCGGUGACAAACCGGAGGAAGGUGGGGAUGACGUCAAGUCAUCAUGCCCCUUAUGAUUUGGGCUACACACGUGCUACAAUGGACAAUACAAAGGGCAGCGAAACCGCGAGGUCAAGCAAAUCCCAUAAAGUUGUUCUCAGUUCGGAUUGUAGUCUGCAACUCGACUACAUGAAGCUGGAAUCGCUAGUAAUCGUAGAUCAGCAUGCUACGGUGAAUACGUUCCCGGGUCU